GAUGAACGCUGGCGGCGUGCCUAAUACAUGCAAGUCGAGCGAAUUGACAGAGGUGCUUGCACCUCUCGAUUUUAGCGGCGGACGGGUGAGUAACACGUGGGUAACCUACCUAUAAGACUGGGAUAACUUCGGGAAACCGGAGCUAAUACCGGAUAAUAUUUAGCUUCGCAUGAAGCAAUAGUGAAAGACGGUUCUGCUGUCACCUAUAGAUGGACCUGCGGUGUAUUAGUUAGUUGGUGAGGUAACGGCUCACCAAGGCAACGAUACAUAGCCGACCUGAGAGGGUGAUCGGCCACACUGGGACGGAGACACGGCCCAGACUCCUACGGGAGGCAGCAGUAGGGAAUCUUCCGCAAUGGACGAAAGUCUGACGGAGCAACGCCGCGUGAGUGAAGAAGGUUUUCGGAUCGUAAAACUCUGUUGUAAGGGAAGAACAAGUACGUUAGUAACUGAACGUACCUUGACGGUACCUUACCAGAGAGCCACGGCUAACUACGUGCCAGCCGCCGCGGUAAAAC
rnacentral:rRNA from 1 species